rnacentral:rRNA from 1 species
AGAGUUUGAUCCUGGCUCAGGACGAACGCUGGCGGCGCGCCUAACACAUGCAAGUCGAACGAGCGAGAGAGAGCUUGCUUUCUCAAGCGAGUGGCGAACGGGUGAGUAACGCGUGAGGAACCUGCCUCAAAGAGGGGGACAACAGUUGGAAACGACUGCUAAUACCGCAUAAGCCCACGACCCGGCAUCGGGUAGAGGGAAAAGGAGCAAUCCGCUUUGAGAUGGCCUCGCGUCCGAUUAGCUAGUUGGUGAGGUAACGGCCCACCAAGGCGACGAUCGGUAGCCGGACUGAGAGGUUGAACGGCCACAUUGGGACUGAGACACGGCCCAGACUCCUACGGGAGGCAGCAGUGGGGAAUAUUGCACAAUGGGGGAAACCCUGAUGCAGCGACGCCGCGUGGAGGAAGAAGGUCUUCGGAUUGUAAACUCCUGUUGUUGAGGAAGAUAAUGACGGUACUCAACAAGGAAGUGACGGCUAACUACGUGCCAGCAGCCGCGGUAAAACGUAGGUCACAAGCGUUGUCCGGAAUUACUGGGUGUAAAGGGAGCGCAGGCGGGAAGACAAGUUGGAAGUGAAAUCCAUGGGCUCAACCCAUGAACUGCUUUCAAAACUGUUUUUCUUGAGUAGUGCAGAGGUAGGCGGAAUUCCCGGUGUAGCGGUGGAAUGCGUAGAUAUCGGGAGGAACACCAGUGGCGAAGGCGGCCUACUGGGCACCAACUGACGCUGAGGCUCGAAAGUGUGGGUAGCAAACAGGAUUAGAUACCCUGGUAGUCCACACCGUAAACGAUGAUUACUAGGUGUUGGAGGAUUGACCCCUUCAGUGCCGCAGUUAACACAAUAAGUAAUCCACCUGGGGAGUACGACCGCAAGGUUGAAACUCAAAGGAAUUGACGGGGGCCCGCACAAGCAGUGGAGUAU